rnacentral:rRNA from 1 species
GUGUCAGCCGCCGCGGUAAUACGGAGGGUGCAAGCGUUGUUCGGAAUUAUUGGGCGUAAAGCGCGUGUAGGCGGUCUUUUAAGUCUGAUGUGAAAGCCCCGGGCUCAACCUGGGAAGUGCAUUGGAAACUGGGAGGCUUGAGUACGGGAGAGGAGAGUGGAAUUCCUAGUGUAGGAGUGAAAUCCGUAGAUAUUAGGAGGAACACCGGUGGCGAAGGCGGCUCUCUGGACCGAUACUGACGCUGAGACGCGAAAGCGUGGGUAGCAAACAGGAUUAGAUACCCUGGUAGUCCACGCCGUAAACGAUGAGUACUAGGUGUUGCGGGUAUUGACCCCUGCAGUGCCGUAGCUAACGCAUUAAGUACUCCGCCUGGGAAGUACGGUCGCAAGACUAAAACUCAAAGAAAUUGACGG